CUCUCUCUCUCUCUCUCUCUCUCUCUCUCUCAGGUGAAUGUGGCGUUGUAAGGGGCGCUCAUAGUCGUUCCAACAAGGCAUUUUGCUGACAGCAAGGCGAUUUGCUGACCCAUUAGAAGCGCAAACUCGGGACUUUGGUCGCCCUGCAAGAUAAAUGCUGAAUUCAAGAGAAUAACUACAAUGCCCUUGCAGUCGAGAUUCCUGUCCCAGCUAGACAUAUUGUCUGACAAGCUGCUGAAGCUGUUCAAAAACAGAGGAGGACAGAUUGACAAACGCCUAGAGAACAUUUUGGCUUGCAUGACUGAGGAUGAUGUUGAUGGAGGACGUGAAUGCAUCCUGAAGGCGUUGUGUGUGUACCUC